rnacentral:lncRNA from 1 species
CACAACAAGGACCGAAAGGUUCAGCGCAAGGAGCCCAAGAGCCAGGACAUCUACCUGCGGCUGCUAGUCAAGCUGUACAGGUUUCUGGCCAGACGGACCAACUCCACCUUCAAUCAGGUUGUGCUGAAAAGGUUAUUUAUGAGCCGCACUAACAGGCCACCUCUGUCCCUGUCCCAAAUGAUCCUGAAGAUGAAGCUUCCUGGUCGGGAGAACAAAACUGCUGUGGUUGUGGGGACGGUCACAGAUGAUGUGCCCAUGCUGAAGGUGUGUGCACUGAGGGUGAGCAGCCGGGCCGGAAGUCGGAUCCUCAAGGUUGGGGGUAAGAUCCUGACCUUCGACCAAGCUGGCCCUGGAGUCUCCCAAGGGCAGCGGCACUGUGCUCUUGUCUGGUCCUCGGAAGGGCCGAGAGGUGUACCGACACUUU